rnacentral:rRNA from 1 species
UUCGGGGUACACGAGCGGCGAACGGGUGAGUAACACGUGAGUAAUCUGCCCUUCACUCGCGGAUAAGCCUCGGAAACGGGGUCUAAUACGUGGUGUACACGGCUGCCUGCAUGGGUGGUGGUGGAAAGCGCUUUAGCGGUGGGGGAUGUGCUCGCGGCCUAUCAGCUUGUUGGUGGGGUAAUGGCCUACCAAGGCUUCGACGGGUAGCCGGCCUGAGAGGGUGACCGGCCACACUGGGACUGAGACACGGCCCAGACUCCUACGGGAGGCAGCAGUGGGGAAUAUUGGACAAUGGGCGGAAGCCUGAUCCAGCAACGCCGCGUGAGGGAUGACGGCCUUCGGGUUGUAAACCUCUUUCAGUGUCGACGAAGCCACGUUUUGGCGUGGUGACGGUAGGCGCAGAAGAAGCACCGGCCAACUACGUGCCAGCAGCCGCGGUAAUACGUAGGGUGCGAGCGUUGUCCGGAAUUAUUGGGCGUAAAGGGCUCGUAGGCGGUUUGUCGCGUCGGGAGUGAAAACACGGGGCUUAACUCUGUGCUUGCUUCCGAUACGGGCAGACUAGAGGGAUGCAGGGGAGAACGGAAUUCCUGGUGUAGCGGUGGAAUGCGC